AGGCAGCAGUGGGGAAUAUUGCACAAUGGGCGCAAGCCUGAUGCAGCCAUGCCGCGUGUAUGAAGAAGGCCUUCGGGUUGUAAAGUACUUUCAGCAGUGAGGAAGGUGGGUAUGUUAAUAGCAUAUUCAUUUGACGUUAGCUGCAGAAGAAGCACCGGCUAACUCCGUGCCAGCAGCCGCGGUAAUACGGAGGGUGCGAGCGUUAAUCGGAAUUACUGGGCGUAAAGCGCAUGCAGGUGGUUUGUUAAGUCAGAUGUGAAAAGCCCGGGGCUCAACCUCGGAAUUGCAUUUGAAACUGGCAAACUAGAGUACUGUAGAGGGGGUAGAAUUUCAGGUGUAGCGGUGAAAUGCGUAGAGAUCUGAAGGAAUACCGGUGGCGAAGGCGGCCCCCUGGACAGAUACUGACACUCAGAUGCGAAAGCGUGGGGAGCAAACAGGAUUAGAUACCCUGGUAG
rnacentral:rRNA from 1 species